rnacentral:misc_RNA from 1 species
CUUAAAUUUCAUCAAAUUUUGAUACCGAGUCUGGUGAGUUUUCUCCUUUAGUUUGAUCUUCAACUUUCAAUUGAAUUAAGCUUUGGUGGAGCAUCAGCUGUGUAAACAGAGAUUUAGAUCAAUGGAGAAAGAAAAGAAAUUAACAGAAGGCACCUCAGAAAUCGAAGAACCCAUUGAAGUUCCUUUAUUUCAAGUCCCUGAAUGUUAUGUUUACUUGAUCCCUCCAAGGAAAAGUGCAGCUUCAUACAGG